rnacentral:rRNA from 1 species
GAUGAACGCUAGCGGCAGGCUUAAUACAUGCAAGUCGAGGGGCAGCAUGAGUGUAGCAAUACAUUUGAUGGCGACCGGCAAACGGGUGCGGAACACGUACACAACCUUCCUAUAAGUGGGGAAUAGCCCAGAGAAAUUUGGAUUAAUACCCCGUAACAUAAUGAUGUGGCAUCACAUUAUUAUUAUAGCUUCGGCGCUUAUUGAUGGGUGUGCGGCUGAUUAGAUAGUUGGCGGGGUAACGGCCCACCAAGUCUACGAUCAGUAGCUGAUGUGAGAGCAUGAUCAGCCACACGGGAACUGAGACACGGGCCCGACUCCUACGGGAGGCAGCAGUAAGGAAUAUUGGUCAAUGGACGCAAGUCUGAACCAGCCAUGCCGCGUGAAGGAUUAAGGUCCUCUGGAUUGUAAACUUCUUUUAUCUGGGACGAAAAAAGGCGAUUCUUCGUCGCUUGACGGUACCAGAUGAAUAAGCACCGGCUAACUCCGUGCCAGCAGCCGCGGUAAUAC